GAACCUCUGGUGUUCCGGUUGUCACGCCAGUGGCAUUGCCGGGUAGCUAUGUUCGGAAAAGAUAACCGCUGAAAGCAUCUAAGCGGGAAACUUGCCUCAAGAUGAGAUCUCACUGGAGCCUUGAGCUCCCUGAAGGGCCGUCGAAGACUACGACGUUGAUAGGCAGGGUGUGUAAGCGCUGUGAGGCGUUGAGCUAACCUGUACUAAUUGCCCGUGAGGCUUGACCAU
rnacentral:rRNA from 1 species